rnacentral:rRNA from 1 species
GACGAACGCUGGCGGCGUGCUUAACACAUGCAAGUCGAACGGAAAGGCCCUGCUUUUGUGGGGUGCUCGAGUGGCGAACGGGUGAGUAACACGUGAGUAACCUGCCCUUGACUUUGGGAUAACUUCAGGAAACUGGGGCUAAUACCGGAUAGGAGCUCCUGCUGCAUGGUGGGGGUUGGAAAGUUUCGGCGGUUGGGGAUGGACUCGCGGCUUAUCAGCUUGUUGGUGGGGUAGUGGCUUACCAAGGCUUUGACGGGUAGCCGGCCUGAGAGGGUGACCGGCCACAUUGGAACUGAGAUACGGCCCAGACUCCUACGGGAGGCAGCAGUGGGGAAUACUGCACAAUGGGCGGAAGCCUGAUGCAGCAACGCCGCGUGCGGGAUGACGGCCUUCGGGUUGUAAACCGCUUUCGCCUGUGACGAAGCGUGAGUGACGGUAAUGGGUAAAGAAGCACCGGCUAACUACGU